rnacentral:rRNA from 1 species
UAGGGAAUCUUCCGCAAUGGGCGAAAGCCUGACGGAGCAACGCCGCGUGAGUGAUGAAGGUCUUCGGAUCGUAAAACUCUGUUAUUAGGGAAGAACUAAUGUGUAAGUAACUAUGCACGUCUUGACGGUACCUAAUCAGAAAGCCACGGCUAACUACGUGCCAGCAGCCGCGGUAAUACGUAGGUGGCAAGCGUUAUCCGGAAUUAUUGGGCGUAAAGCGCGCGUAGGCGGUUUUUUAAGUCUGAUGUGAAAGCCCACGGCUCAACCGUGGAGGGUCAUUGGAAACUGGAAAACUUGAGUGCAGAAGAGGAAAGUGGAAUUCCAUGUGUAGCAGUGAAAUGCGCAGAGAUAUGGAGGAACACCAGUGGCGAAGGCGACUUUCUGGUCUGUAACUGACGCUGAUGUGCGAAAGCGUGGGGAUCAAACAGG